AAUCUUAUUUGUUCUUUGUUUCGGUCCUUUCCGGACUAAGGAACGAUAAGAUUUAGUGGCGGACGGGUGAGUAACACGUUGGUACCUGCCCUUUAGUGGGGAAUAACUGGCCGAAAGGUCAGCUAAUACCGCAUGUGAUCUACGGAUUAAAGCCUUCGGGCGCUAGAGGAGGGGCCUGCGUAGCAUUAGCUAGUUGGUAGGGUAAUGGCCUACCAAGGCGACGAUGCUUAGCUGGUUCGAGAGGAUGACCAGCCACACUGGGACUGAGAUACGGCCCAGACUCCUACGGGAGGCAGCAGUAAGGAAUCUUCCACAAUGGACGAAAGUCUGAUGGAGCAACGCCGCGUGCAGGAUGACGGUCUUCGGAUUGUAAACUGCUUUUAUUUGGGAAGAUUAUGACGGUACCAAAUGAAUAAGGACCGGCUAACUACGUGCCAGCAGCCGCGGUAAUACGUAGGGUCCAAGCGUUAUCCGGAAUCACUGGGCGUAAAGCGUGCGUAGGCGGCGCGUUAAGUGCAAUGCGAAAUCCAACGGCUCAACCGUUCGGACUGUAUUGCAUACUGGCGUGCUUGAGGAUGGUAGAGGCAAGUGGAACUGGUAGUGUAGCAGUGAAAUGCGUAGAUAUUACCAAGAACACCAAUGGCGAAGGCAGCUUGCUGGGCCACACCUGACGCUAAGGCACGAAAGCGUGGGGAGCGAACAGGAUUAGAUACCCUGGUAGUCCACGCCGUAAACGAUGCAUACUAUUAGUAUGGGGUAUCGACCCCCUGUGCUAAGCAGCUAACGCGAUAAGUAUGCCGCCUGGGGAGUACGAUCGCAAGAUUAAAACUCAAAGGAAUUGACGG
rnacentral:rRNA from 1 species